GAUCCUGCCAGUAGUCAUAUGCUUGUCUCAAAGAUUAAGCCAUGCAUGUGCAAGUAUGAACCAAUUUGAACUGUGAGACUGCGAAUGGCUCAUUAAAUCAGUUAUAGUUUGUUUGAUGGUACGUGCUACUCGGAUAACCGUAGUAAUUCUAGAGCUAAUCCGUGCAACAACCCCCGACUUUUGGGAGGGGCGCAUUUAUUA
rnacentral:ncRNA from 1 species